UGGGUAACCUGCCUCAAAGAGGGGAAUAGCCUCCCGAAAGGGAGAUUAAUACCGCAUAAUAUGUUUAAGUCGCAUGACUUUAACAUCAAAGGAUUUUCUUUUAGAAAUUCCACUUUGAGAUGGACCCGCGGCGCAUUAGCUAGUUGGUGAGGUAACGGCUCACCAAGGCAACGAUGCGUAGCCGACCUGAGAGGUGAUCGGCCACAUUGGAACUGAGACACGGUCCAGACUCCGUAGGAGG
rnacentral:rRNA from 1 species